rnacentral:lncRNA from 1 species
UAAAAUUAAAAAAUUUAAAUUUAAAUUAAGAUAAAUAGAUAAGUGAUUAUUUUGUUAAUGUAUGGAUGAGGACGAGGAGGUUUGUUAGAUUAUGGUUUAUUUCUUUCUUAUUUAAAAAAAUUAUAAUUUAUUAUUUUGACUAAUAUAAGUGUGUACUUUUGUAUAAGUCUGUAUUAUAGGAAGCCAAUAAAUAUGAUAUUAGAGCCUAGUUCGAAG